rnacentral:rRNA from 1 species
AUUGAACGCUGGCGGCAUGCUUUACACAUGCAAGUCGAACGGUAACAGGUUAAGCUGACGAGUGGCGAACGGGUGAGUAAUGCAUCGGAACGUGCCCGAUCGUGGGGGAUAACGCAGCGAAAGCUGCGCUAAUACCGCAUACGAUCUGAGGAUGAAAGCAGGGGACCGUAAGGCCUCGCGCGAUCGGAGCGGCCGAUGUCAGAUUAGGUAGUUGGUGGGGUAAAGGCUCACCAAGCCAACGGUCUGUAGCUGGUCUGAGAGGACGACCAGCCACAAUGGGACUGAGACACGGCCCAGACUCCUACGGGAGGCAGCAGUGGGGAAUUUUGGACAAUGGGCGAAAGCCUGAUCCAGCAAUGCCGCGUGCAGGAAGAAGGCCUUCGGGUUGUAAACUGCUUUUGUACGGAGCGAAAAGGCUCUCUCUAAUACAGGGGGCUCAUGACGGUACCGUAAGAAUAAGCACCGGCUAACUACGUGCCAGCAGCCGCCGCGG